rnacentral:lncRNA from 1 species
GGCACCUCCUCUUACAGCUUUACUCCUGCCAGCUUGGGAAAAGGCCGGAGAAGGUGAAAUUCUGUGUGCUCCCUCCGGCGAGAGACUUUGUCAGCUCCCGCACAGUAACAUCCUGAAUAAAGUCAAAACUCAACCAACAGGUGGAAGUCCAAGAAUCCGAGUGGAGGCUCACCGAGGCGAAGGGGCCAACCAUGGGAAAGGAGAGUGGAUGGGACUCAGGCAGGGCUGCUGUAGCAGCUGUGGUCGGAGGAGUUGUGGCUGUGGGGACUGUGCUCGUGGCGCUCAGUGCCAUGGGCUUCACCUCAGUAGGAAUCGCCGCAUCCUCCAUAGCAGCCAAGAUGAUGUCUACAGCAGCCAUUGCCAACGGGGGCGGAGUUGCUGCUGGCAGUCUGGUGGCUAUUCUGCAGUCAGUGGGGGCAGCUGGACUCUCUGUGACAUCUAAAGUUAUCGGGGGCUUUGCUGGGACAGCUCUUGGGGCCUGGCUGGGUUCACCCCCUUCCAGCUGAACACCACACUGAGGCAGGGAGUUGGCUCUCUUGGUGGAGAUGACUUUCCUGGGCCUCUGGAUGACAAUCUUCCAAAGGACAAGUCUCCUACUCCCAAAACUAUUUAAGGAAGCAUGAAAAAUAAAGAUGCUGGUUAUCUUCUCCU